rnacentral:rRNA from 1 species
CCUACGGGUGGCAGCAGUGAGGAAUAUUGGGCAAUGGGCGUAAGCCUGAACCAGCCAAGUCGCGUGAGGGAUGAAGGUUCUAUGGAUCGUAAACCUCUUUUAUAAGGGAAUAAAGUUCGGGACGUGUCUCUUUUUGUCUUUACCUUAUGAAUAAGGAUCGGCUAACUCCGGGCCAGCAGCCGCGGUAAUACGGAGGAUCCGAGCGUUAUCCGGAUUUAUUGGGUUUAAAGGGUGCGUAGGCGGCCUUUUAAGUCAGCGGUGAAAGUCUGUGGCUCAACCAUAGAAUUGCAUUUGAAACUGGGAGGCUUGAGUAUGUUUGAGGAAGGAGGAAUGCGUGGUGUAGCGGUGAAAUGCUUAGAGAUCACGCAGAACCCCGAUUGCGAAGGCGGCCUGCCAAGCCAUGACUGACGCUGAUGCACGAAAGCGUGGGGAUCAAACAGGAUUAGAUACCCUUGUAGUC